rnacentral:tRNA from 1 species
UUAUAUUUAAUAUAAUUUGUAUUAAUAAUUUUGAAUUAUUU